rnacentral:rRNA from 1 species
AUGGUUCACCACAAGAUACUGCAACAACACUCUCUCGGACAGCCCACGGAAUGGGGACACUCCCAUUUGGCGAUGCCUGGAAUCAACAAUUCAGCUUGUUUACAAUCUAUGAGGUGCGUUUUGGGGGACGGAUCUAGAAUCUCUUUUUGGAAGGAUUUGUGGCUUGCUUGCGGAAGGCUUGAGUUCUCCUUCCCAGUGCUUUUCUCAUUUGCCCGAAACAAGAGCUGCUCGGUUGCCUCUCAGUUCAAUGCUGGAGUUUGGGACGUCAAACUACAUCCAAACCUCACUACCGCAACCAACAGAGAGUUGCAAGCUCUAUAUGAAAUAUUGAACGGCAUCCAACCUGUGGACGAUCAGGCAGAUUCCCGGAGGCCAAUCUGUUUGUACAACAAGACUACAACACACUUCUUUUAUGAGAUGCUCACGUUUAAAGGAAUUCAGUGCCCUUUGAAGAACAAGAUCUGGGACAGUCUUAUUCCGAAUAAACACAAAGUUUUCCUAUGGUUAGCAAUCCGUGGUAGAGUGAACACAAGGGAUAACAUGCUGAAGAAACACUGGAAGGUCACAACUCAUAAUGGUUGCGAUUGGUGCCCCGCAUCAGAAACCAUUUAUCAAAUUAUUCUGCGAUGCCGGUUAGCAGAUGCAGUCUGGCAAAGGAUCGGCAUGCUAAGUAUUGCCAAUGCCUGCCCGGACCUACAAACCUUCAUCUUAUCAGCAGAGGCCUUUGCUACGCAUGGCAAGCUUUGGCACAUCCUCUUUGCAGCGAUUGCAGUUGCUCUUUGGACAGCCCGGAACACGCUAGUCUUCAGAACAGAGACUUGGACUGCAUCUCGGGUUUUCAAUGAGAUUCAUCAACUUAUACAUCUUUGGAAGCAUAGAGCCUGA